UACGAAGGGGGCUAGCGUUGCUCGGAAUUACUGGGCGUAAAGCGCACGUAGGCGGGUUCUUAAGUCGGUGGUGAAAUCCUGGAGCUCAACUCCAGAACUGCCUUUGAUACUGAAAGUCUUGAGUAUGGGAGAGGUGAGUGGAACUGCGAGUGUAGAGGUGAAAUUCGUAGAUAUUCGCAAGAACACCAGUGGCGAAGGCGGCUCACUGGCCCAUUACUGACGCUGAGGCACGAAAGCGUGGGGAGCAAACAGG
rnacentral:rRNA from 1 species